rnacentral:lncRNA from 1 species
UGCAGCCCUGCUCAGCUACCUGCAUUCUUAACGCUGUUCCCUCCCACUACCAAGCAGAGUAUUUGAGGGCCAGGGGGUGUCAGGGACUGCGUGAGCGACUGCCAUGGCAAGUGUACUGUUUCUGAUCUUUCUAGGCUUUCCUCAGCUCACUGCCCUCAGCUUUCCAUUAAAACUGCCUUGAAAUCCUUUGCCAGAAACUGUAAGUCUUGGAAGGUCAAAUCUUCACAUCUGCUGCCUUUGAGCUGAACUCAAAACAAGUCAUUAACUACAUGUAAGAGAAGAGUAUAUUUUACUUUACUAAAGAAACUCUUCUAUUCAUUGAAACUGCUUCCAUUUAUU